AUUCUGAAGCAUGAAUCCUCUUCUCUUUUCCUCACCGUCCAUUGCCUGGGGAAAGCCUUGGUUGCUCCACUCACACUUUGGAUGCACAAUGGGAGGAGUGGAAGACAAAACCUACAGCAUGGAUGAAGAAGGACAGAGGCGAGCGGUAUGGGAGGAGAAUUUGGAAAUGAUUGAGCUGCACAGUGAGGAAUGCAGACACGGGAAACACGGCUUCACCAUGGGGAUGAAGCCUCGGGGACCUGGGGAGUGUGGCGUGCAUUGUGUAGUCCGUGCUCCCUCUGCUUGGCACGUUGCAGAAUGGCCCCUUGCUUUACGAGUUCUUGUAGACUAGUCAGGAUUCAGGCAGGUGAGGAGUGGUUUUCAAAUCCAGAAGCAGAAGAAGUUGGAGAAAGUGUUCCAGGAACUUCUGUUUCAGCACGUCCCCAGUGGUAUGGGCUGCAGAGAGAAAGGCUCUGUGCUCCCGGGAAGAAUCAGGCGUGACGCCGUCCCUUCCCGCUCUUCAGUGCUGCAGCAACGCCAAGAAGGCAUCGAUGUUUCCUUUAGGAGAGUGCGGAGCGACAUUUUUCCAAGGACCGACCCUGCCAGAAGAAGCCCAGGCACUGCUGCUAGUGCCACAGGGGACGUCCACGUUCCUCCCGAUGAGGCUUGGCCACCCCGGGAGCCAUCUCUGCUGGUCUUGAUGAAAGCCUGCCUUCCUUCAUGUUCUGUAAGCCAGCUGGGGUAAAGAAUGGGGUGAGCCUGGCUCCCUAAAGAUGACCAGAGAUCGGGAUAACCACUGGGAUUGGCACCUGGGCAGCUGCCCCACUGUGUGAGCUCCUGACGGUGACAGGAAGGCAUGGAUUGAGGACAUCAUGUUUAGAGGAAGGACAUUGUCAUCAAAUUGACAAGCACACACGGUGUCGUAGCUAACACUUGAGUCAUUGAUGAUCCAACCUGUGAUGUGAAUUCUCUGACAUUUUCUACUUGUGACAUGGUACCACUGCUGUAAAAGUUGCCAUAAACAGAUUAUAUUACUGAAUCACCUAAAUAAAUUGUUGACUGUAUUUGG